rnacentral:ncRNA from 1 species
CAAAGAUUUGGUCCUGAUCUUUCUAUUAAUUGUUAACAGACUUACACAUGCAAGUAUCAGCCCUCCAGUGAGGAUGCCCUCUAAAUCAGUAAUUGAAAUAAAGGAGCGGGUAUCAGGCACGUCCCCGGACAGCCCACAACACCUUGCUAUGCCACACCCCCACGGGAAACAGCAGUGAUAAAAAUUAAGCUAUAAACGAAAGUUUGACUAAGUCAUGUAAACUAGGAUUGGUAAAUUUCGUGCCAGCCACCGCGGUCAUACGAUUAAUCCGAAUUAAUAGUUUCCGGCGUAAAGUGUGGCUAAGGUCAUAUCAUAAAAUAAAGUUAAAUUUUAACUAAGCCGUAAAAAGCCCUAGUUAAUAUAAAAUAGCCUACGAAAGUGACUUUAAAAGCCUGAACCCACGACAGCUGAGACCCAAACUGGGAUUAGAUACCCCACUAUGCUCAGCCUUAAACUUGGGAGGCCAGUUCUAACAAGACCUCUCGCCAGAGUACUACUAGCUAAAGCUUAAAACUCAAAGGACUUGGCGGUGCUUUAUAUCCAUCUAGAGGAGCCUGUUCUAUAAUCGAUAAACCCCGGUAAACCUCACCAACCCUUGCCAAAUCAGCCUAUAUACCGCCAUCUUCAGCAAACCCUAAAAAGGAAUCAAAGUAAGCGCAAUCAUAGGACAUAAAAACGUUAGGUCAAGGUGUAGCCUAUGGGUUGGGAAGAAAUGGGCUACAUUUCCUAUUUAAGGCCACAAAACAUACGAACACUCCCGUGAAACCGAGAGUUAAAGGUGGAUUUAGCAGUAAACUAAGAAUAGAGCGCUUAGUUGAAUUUAGGCCAUGAAGCACGCACACACCGCCCGUCACCCUCCUCAAGCUUUACUAAUCACCAUUAAUCCUAUUAAAAUGAUUGAACCCGUGAGAGGAGAUAAGUCGUAACAAGGUAAGUGUACUGGAAAGUGCACUUGGAAAAUU